AUGGAGGAUGCUGCUCCACCCCGCCAUGAAGGAUGCUGCUCCACCCCUGCGCCGCUCCGUGCCCCCGACGCUAUGGAGGACGCCGCUCCACCCCUGCUCCAGCCUCAAGGUUCUGAGGCAUCAUCUUGUGGAGGACUCAUGUUAAGAUCAAUCCCAAACAUCAUUGCGGCAGUGGAGCACUUGCUCAGAACAAGACAUGUUUGCAAAAUGCAUAAUGCAAAUGUUCAAGCUCUAUUCAAGUUCUGUUUAAUCCAGCUUCAUUUGGUAUUCAAGUUCUGUUUAAUACCAGCAGCAAUUAAGUUCUCUUUAAUUCAGUAUUCAGUACAGAACAUCAAGUAUUCAGUAUUCAUAAACAUCAAGGUGGACCCGGCCGAGCUCUGCCGGUGGCUCAAGAGGAAGAUGAGGAAGGAUGUCAAGAUCGUCUGCCCUCAUCCGCCGGCUGCGAAUCCUAAGCAUAAAAUGAUACUGGUUCUGGGAAGCAGCUCAAGAACCGGGAACCGGGGACAAUCAAGGGAGGUGAUCAGCAACAGUAAGAAGGCUCUGCUAGACAAUGCCCUGAGCUAG
rnacentral:rRNA from 1 species